rnacentral:rRNA from 1 species
GAAACCGUGUACGUACAAGCAGUGGGAGCACAGAGCAAUCUGUGUGACUGCGUACCUUUUGUAUAAUGGGUCAGCGACUUAUAUUCUGUAGCAAGGUUAACCGAAUAGGGGAGCCGAAGGGAAACCGAGUCUUAACUGGGCGUUAAGUUGCAGGGUAUAGACCCGAAACCCGGUGAUCUAGCCAUGGGCAGGUUGAAGGUUGGGUAACACUAACUGGAGGACCGAACCGACUAAUGUUGAAAAAUUAGCGGAUGACUUGUGGCUGGGGGUGAAAGGCCAAUCAAACCGGGAGAUAGCUGGUUCUCCCCGAAAGCUAUUUAGGUAGCGCCUCGUGAAUUCAUCUCCGGGGGUAGAGCACUGUUUCGGCAAGGGGGUCAUCCCGACUUACCAACCCGAUGCAAACUGCGAAUACCGGAGAAUGUUAUCACGGGAGACACACGGCGGGUGCUAACGUCCGUCGUGAAGAGGGAAACAACCCAGACCGCCAGCUAAGGUCCCAAAGUCAUGGUUAAGUGGGAAACGAUGUGGGAAGGCCCAGACAGCCAGGAUGUUGGCUUAGAAGCAGCCAUCAUUUAAAGAAAGCGUAAUAGCUCACUGGUCGAGUCGGCCUGCGCGGAAGAUGUAACGGGGCUAAACCAUG